rnacentral:rRNA from 1 species
UACAGAGGUCUCAAGCGUUGUUCGGAUUCAUUGGGCGUAAAGGGUGCGUAGGUGGCGCCGUAAGUCGGGUGUGAAAUUUCGGAGCUUAACUCCGAAACUGCAUUCGAUACUGCGGUGCUUGAGGACUGGAGAGGAGACUGGAAUUCAUGGUGUAGCGGUGAAAUGCGCAGAUAUCAGGAGGAACACCGGUGGCGAAGGCGGGUCUCUGGGCCGAUACUGACGCUGAGGAGCGAAAGCGUGGGGAGCAAACAGG